rnacentral:rRNA from 1 species
UACGUAGGGUGCAAGCGUUAAUCGGAAUUACUGGGCGUAAAGCGUGCGCAGGCGGCUUUGCAAGCCAGAUGUGAAAUCCCCGGGCUUAACCUGGGAACUGCAUUUGUGACUGCAUGGCUGGAGUGUGGCAGAGGGGGAUGGAAUUCCGCGUGUAGCAGUGAAAUGCGUAGAUAUGCGGAGGAACACCGAUGGCGAAGGCAAUCCCCUGGGCCUGCACUGACGCUCAUGCACGAAAGCGUGGGGAGCAAACAGG